ensembl:lncRNA
GAACUAAGUUACCAACAGCAGAGCACCUUUGCAAGGACACUCGUGCUUGGCUAUCUCCUGCUUUUCCAGUGGAACAUUUUUUUCUUCACAUGAGAAUCAGUGGCAUCUCAAAGACACUUCAGAAGUUAUGUAACUUGGAGAUGGCAUCCAGAACAAGUUGUUCCAUCACCUUUCCAGGAACAGAUGUGAGACAUACUGGCCUGUAGUAUACUUGAUCCUCCUUGCCUUUUUUGAAGACUGGAAUGACAUUGGCUAUCCUCCCAUCUUCAGGCAACUGUAGUAUUUGCUAUGACCUUUCAAAGAUGAUAGAGAAUGGUUCAGUAAUCACCUCUGCCAGCUCCGUCAGCCCAUGAAGGAAAAGAGGUUUGUAGUUACUUGUUCCUGCUUGUGAAUUCAAACUUGUCAUUCCAUCAGCUUGAUUCCUGGGAGAAGAGGUGAAAUUGAGACAUUGCAACACAUCCUGGACAGAGGAAAAAAUCUACGAGGUGUUCCUUUAAAAAUGUUUUAUUUCCACUCAACAUGAAGAUCUGAACUGAAAAUCAACAGGCAUUGACAUCAACUGAGGAAAAUAUGACUUUGAUCACUUUUGAUACUAUAGAAACUCAAACACCUAGAGUCUGCAUACAAGGCACUCCACAAACAAACUGUUGGCAUGGAACACAUUUUGUGCCACUGGAUUGAAAAGGGCUCUCUCAAUGGACUUCCAUGACUUUAUUACUUUACAGAAGACCUCUGAAAAAUACCAGACAGUUUCAAAACACAUGA